rnacentral:misc_RNA from 1 species
CCAGCUAUCACGGAGGGCGAACGUACCUGUCCAUCCAUCUGUGCUUGGAACUUUCGAUUUACACUCUUGUGGAUGCAUCACCAUGAAGCCUCUGUUGAUAUUAGGAAUGCUAGCGGCGACAGGAGGCAGGUGUUUGGCGACAGGAAACACGUCCUGUAACCAAGGCUGGGAGCUGUGUCCCUCCACCCAUCAGUGUGUGCACAAGCAAUGCAUGAACCUCAUUGCUCAAGAGUCUGAGAGCCACGAGUGUCAAGAUGGCCAAGUGUUCUGCAAGGCCAUGGAGGCGUGCGUCCAACCCUGCUUUACUUCCUACGCUGAGACGUGCAGCCCAAACUCUCCUGUGUCUCCCGUCUGCCCCUCGGGACACGUCUGUUGCCAGAAAGACGCAUCCAAGACCUGCACCACACCCGAGGACUGCCAGAAAUCGGCUGGCCUCCACCUGCCGUCUCCCACCUGUCCAGACGGCUACGUGUUCUGCUUAUCCGUCGGUGGCUGUGUUGAGGGAAGCUGUCCUGAUGUUUCUGUCGGCGGCCGCUGUGAGGGGAACAGGGUGUUCUGCCCUUCUUUGGGACGAUGUGUGACACAAAGAGAAUGUUUCGGGACGAAUGUCAUAGAAGAGGCAGCCUUCACCUGUCCACCCGGAAAACCGCUGUGUUUGGCUACAGGGAAAUGUGAGGAGCCUUGGGCGUGUAGCGAAAGUCUUGGAACCAGUAGAGGAGAGAUCUGUCCCCCACACAAACCUGUCUUCUGUUUGGCCAGCCGAACCUGUGAGGUGGCAGGUGGAUGCAGCAGCCGCCCUCCGGAGACUAUGGCGAGGAUUUGUCCCAGAGAGUACAUUUACUGUGCUCAAAGAGGAGAGUGUGUGGCUAGAAGCAGAGGUUGCAGUGAUUCAGGUGUGAGGAAGCCGCUGUUAUCUUGUCCACAUGGCACCACCUUCUCAAUCCCAAGUGGGACCUGUGUACCAGACUCAGAGAACAGCCAAACACUUGGUGGAGAGAAACAAGCCUGUCCUUCUGGUAGUGUUUUCUCCCUUUCUAGUAGCAAGUGUGUCCCUGAUCCUACAAGAGAAAGGAAAAAAGUUGCUUGUCCAGCUGGUACAGUGUAUCACCUUACUGAAGGCACUUGUGUCCCAGACCCAGUGAUGUAUGAAGAUACUCCUAGUUGGUCAUGCCCAAUGAGCAAUGAGUCCCGCAAAGACAGCUUUCCAUAUUCUACAUGCAUUACAAGUGAUCAUUGCUCCAAUGGUUUAUCAUGCUGCCCAGAUCCAGAAACAUGGCAUUUUCAGUGCGUGAAUACUGUUGGUGAACCAGAUCCUAGUGCUCUUAACAAAACUUGCCUGCAGCUAGACAAACCCAAACAUGACACUGCUUUAAGAUGUAACAACCCAAAUGAAUGUCCACAAGCCUCUGUCUGUUGUGGAGGAAAAUGCAGGUCCCAUGAUGGAGUUGCAACCUGCCCUAUUGGCACAUUGUUCUGCCCAGCCUCCAAUGCCUGUGUACGGCUUGGAAACCAGUGUGGCAAGAUUUGUCCCCCUAAGCAUGUCCUUUGCUCACCUUCGUCAGACUGUGCUGUUUGGAGUUCUUGUAGAAGUGAUAAUUACAUGAGUGGAGCUCCAUGGAUGAUGCCAGAUAUCAAAUGGGUGUCAGCACUGAGCAACAAUAGCAACACAAGGAGAGAUGUUCUGCUGUCAGAGACCUUCAGAAAAGCUGGAUCUGGAUCACAAGACAGAUCUAUUGUGAUCUUCAUUAUAACAAACUUCACAUCUGCAUAUGGGAACUGGUAUUUUCGGCGCCAUCACAGCACUCCAUGGAUACCCUUAGAGCUCACCUCCGAGAUUACUCCAGCACAUUACCUUCAAUACCGCCCUCUGCCCAACCUGUAUGAGUUUGGCCUUGACUACAUCAAUAUGACCGAAGCAGGUACAGGAAUCGAUAGAACAGUGGUGCAGCUCAUUGCUCCGGAAUCCCCAUCAAUUCAGAUGAAGAAAGUUGUUUCUACAAUCACCACAGAAGAAGAUGUUCCAAAAGAAUUUUCACUCUGGAGCAUCAUUAAUGUGACAUGUAAUGACACCCAUUACUGGAGAGUGUGGAUGCAAGCAGCUGAUUUUCCCAAACAAGCUGCAAAGGCCAGUCUUCUGCAGUUCAAUUCUAAAAAUGUGAUAUUAUGGGUUACAUUGCUUCAAAGUCCAGGUCUCCAGAAUGAUAUAGGAGAAGAUGGAGUUAUGGGAAGAGGAUUGAAGCUGGAGUGGGUUAAAAAUUCUGCCUUUCCUGAUGAAGUUUUGGCUGAUCUUUACAUCUCACUAAGUGAAGGAAAAGAAUGGUUUAGAAUGAAUCCUCGUAAGGCGCUGAAGCUCCCUAUUGUGUCUUGUGAAAAAGUGCAGGAUAUAAUGGUAAAGGUGCAACCAACUCUUAAUGCAUAUGGAACCAGUACCCUGAGGCCAUCUGUAUAUCCUUCCACCUCAUCAAUGCUUGUCAAUGACUCAACAAAUAUGCCUGAUGAUGCAGACAUGAAUGAUAUUGUUUUAGAGGUGACAAGUGUGAAUGAUCUUCCAGUAGCAAAAACCUACCCAGAAUAUAGCAAGAUUCCAGCCCUCAGAGUAGACAAGCUAAAUAAUGGAGUACCUGUGGAAACCUAUGCAGAGGCCUUCUUCCAAGACCCAGAGAACAGUGCUUUAGGCAUCAUUAUACUGCAAGCACUGAGUGGUCCAGAUGAUGACAAGUGGCAGUAUUCUGUUGAUGAUGGCAAAACCUUCAUUGAUAUAAUGGAUCUACAGGAGAACCCUUUUAACAUUCCUUUCUCGACGCAAGAAGGUCGUCAAGGUCCAGUUCACUGGAGGAAAGAAAUUGAAAGAGUCAGCUGUAAUUUCAGAGGCUUGAUAAACAAUAUUGAUAAUUUGUCAUCACUAAGUAACGACAAAUGUUUAACGGAGGCAAGGAAGAGAAUGGGUAGAAAGUUGGGUGCAACUACAAGCAAUAGUUUUAACACCAGAAUGAAGACACAAACUAUGGACACAGCAGGUAUAGCAGAAUUUGGAUACACUGGCACAGGCAGCCUCAGCCUGACAGGACCGGAAACAAAGCGUAAAGUUCUGUACUUGCCGUCAAACACUGUGCUGAGAUACAACACAUCUCGUAGUCCUUGGACUAAGGAAGAAGGAUUUAGAGACACUCGAUUGGUAUUUGUUAUCUUGGAUGGCAAUGGCACUGACCAGUCUCUUCGUGAAGUACAGUGGAUGAACAUCAGUUUAAAGGAAGACUUGGGGAAAAAUGGCAUUGGGAGGGAUCCAGUUGUGACCGCUAUGACUUGGCAAGACUGCACCAACCAAACUUUGGAGAUGUAUCCACCUCGCACAGUAGAUGCUUGUGGCCAGUGUGGUGGAAACAACAGCACUUGCACUGAUUGUGCUGGUGUCCUCAAUGGAGAUGCUAAGAUGGUUUGUGGAGAGUGUGUUGGAGGUACUACAAACAAGGUUCGGGAAAAAGACUGUGCUGGUCAAUGUGAGAUGAAGAACCAUCUUGUCAACAUUGAUGGAGAAGAAAAGUGUCUAGCAAAUAGGACAUUUUGUGAUGGCUCCCUAACAUCUGGUGCUUACUAUGAUAGGUGUGGAAUUUGUGUAGGGGGCACCACAAGACAGGAGAUAAAUGAGGCAAUGGAUGAGUGUGGUGUGUGUUAUGGAGAAAACACAUGUUUUGGAUGUGAUAAUGUUCCUCAUUCUGGAAAAGUUAUGGACAGAUGUGGGUUGUGCCUCAAGCCUGACAGUCCUCUUUUCAACAAUUGCUUGACCUUGACAGCCACUACAGAGGUUUUAGAUGCUGCUGUCAAUGAUAUCGCUGAUGUUGACAUUCAGUCACGGGCAUCAGUUUCUCGUGGUAGGCAAGACUCAAUGAAGAGGCAGCUGCAAUCCCUCCUCACCAUCAAGGCCCAAGUGACUGGACUCACUGGCAAGAGAUACAAGGUGGAGUGUUGGCUUGAAGCUGACAGUGAGCAGAUAUCAAAUGCCACUCAUGUACAGUAUGCAAAGGGUCAACUAAAAGCUACUUUCAAGAUCCUACUGUCAGGCAUUCAGUCCUUCAAAUGUACAUUUACACCAGCAAAAAAGAAAAUUACAUCAGGUAUGACACUGGAAUCUGAAACCAAAGUAGAGGUGAUGGAUUCACGUUCUGCCAUGGUGGAGACGGAUACUACGCUAGUGGAGACCAGUACAGAUAAACAAGUUAAUGUGACUUUGAAAUAUGCUUCAUCUGUUGACUUUGCAAGAUGUUUUCUCCUUUACCAAGACCCAGUAGAAGAAGGAAGAGAGAAGAGCAUUGUAGUUGAGCUUGAUACUGAAGUUUUGGCUGAUGACAAAGUUGCCUGCACUAUUACCAGAUUUACAAGACCAGGAGAAGCACAACUUGGAGUUGCCCUUACACCCACAGCAGUGAAGGCAAUGUACCUGAACCCAUUAAAUAUUCAAACAAAAAGGAUUACCAUUCUUUCUCCAGCACCUGAAGUCAUUUCUGCUGUUUUGAAUCCCUAUGGAGAUGUGCUUGUGAUCAAAUUCGAUAAAGAAAUUGAAUUUGACAGAGAUUGCUCCAAUAUAAUCUUAUGGCCAUGGACAACUAGUGACAAUAGGCAGGAUCCAACUUGUCAGAUCCUAGGAUCCAAGGUGAAGGUAAGACUGAGUCCGGACAUUAGUAUAGAGGGCAACACAACCCUCAACUUUACUAUUCCUGGGAGCAUUAGAAGUGCCAAUGGAGAUCCUUCAACUGCUCCCUCAGCUUCAGGGAGUUUCAUGGUUGUUCAACCAAAGGAGCAAAAGGAAAUAACUUUUCAUCUGAGUGGUGAUACAAGAGCCUGCAACACUUCUGAGGUUACUGUCAUUAUUUCUCGCAUCAGAGGAGCAAAAAUCAAGGACUUGGAGCCUGAAUGGAACAUUACAUGGGAGCCUUCACCAAGAUCUCAAGCUGAAACAGUUCUUGUAUGGCAGAGUCUCAACAAUCUGAAAGAUGCUAUGAAAGAAGAGUCUGUAGGUCGUAGGUUCUUCCUGCGUCUUCCUGGCAAUGAGUUCCUUGAAGGAGUUGAGUACAUGAUAAAUGUACACUUGAAGCUAACUAAUGGAGAGCUUACUAGUGCCAAGAGUCUGACAGUGACCACCCUGCCCUCAGACCAGGCACUUAGGGUUACUGUGAGUGGACCUACCAUGGUCCUGGCUGACCAACCCAACAGUUACCAAGCAACAGUGACUUCUUGCUCAGAUACUAUGAUCAAGAAAGACACAAAAUACAAGUACGUAUGGACUGUGUUGGGUAGCAGGGCCUUGAAUGUCUUCCAAGGCAAAAGAAUUACACUUCCAGCGGGAGUUCUAAUAGCUAACCAAAAUCAGACACUCAUGGUCAGUGUAAAGGCAUUAGGACAGGAGGCUACUGGCACAACCAGCUUGAACCUGUCUGUGAUUCCUCAAGGCAUCAGUGUUGUUACCUCUGCCAGCUAUGUAAGGGUGUGUUCCAGCACAGCCAUCAUUGUCGAUGCUUCCAACUCAAAAGACAGAGACAACCGUCCUGGAUCCCUCUCUUUUAUGUGGAAAUGUUCUUCAAAUGUUAGCAGCCCUUGCAUUGUUAUAGGAAAACCUCUUAGUGGACUUGAGAGUGCUUUAUCUGAGGAAGAAAUGAGAAAACCUACACUCAAAAUUCCUGCUGGUUAUCUACCUCCUGGCAGGUACACCUUGACAGUUGUUGUAAACAAAGGGAGAAGCUCUGCUCAAAAAAAUGUGGAGAUUGAGAUUCUGAGAAGUGCCUGUGAGGUUACUGUUGAGACAAACCCCACUGCUGUGUUGGUUAAUCCAUUGGAAGAGGUCAUCAUUCCUGCCUAUGUCACCGGUCCACCGAAGUUGAAUAUAGAGUGGCAGAGUAUCAAAGAACCUGGUUUUCACAAUAUUGAAAUGAUGUCAUUUGUAGAUACUGGUCAGCCCACCUUGUAUGAGGAUGCUAGUGAACACCGGCAGCACUUCCUUCAACUCCCAAAGCCUAAACAACAAGAUUUCACAGGCCUCAUUAUGGGGGAGACCUACAAAUUUCGACUCAAAGCUUGGACUGACGUCACUGAGACAAUUUUCAGUGACAUAAUCCUCAGGACACCCUAUUCUCAACUUGAGGGCAAAACCACACUUGAGGUGUCUCCCUCUGCAGGAAGUGGCAUCCUAGAUAACUUCACCUUUACCAUGAAGUAUUCUGUUGACUCCAUAAAAGACCAGCCUUCCUCUGUGUACUUUGGUUAUCGCCUCCAAGACUCUCAGGACAUCUGGUUUACUCCAAUUACAAAUGAGAAUCCAGUAGCUGUCUAUCAGCUCCCAGCACGGUCAAACCAGGAAAAAGUAACACCACUCAUGAAAGUUUGUGAUCCUUUUGGAAUCUGUCAAAAUGAAGAGGGUGACAUCAUAACUCUCACCCUCCCAUCACAGCUGCCUCCAGGUCUUCUCGGAAAUCUUGUAAAUAGUUUUGAUAAUGACAUGAGGUGUGAUGAAUGCCUGAAAUCAGCACUAAAAAAAAUCACAGACAACCUGGCAACCAUCUUUGCCAUGAAUUACAGUACAACAGCUGCUGCUGCUCUCACUGAGGCAAUAGAAAUGUCCAUCAUAUCAGAAUUGCCCAACCUCAUAACCAGAACUCAGAACAACCCAGCUCUGUCCCUGGACAUACUUGAAGGCUUGUUAGGUUUUGUGCAAGAGUUUGGUGCCAGUCCAGAGCUGCAGCAGCUCUGGGGUACCUUAGCUUGGGAAAGUUUUUCCCAAAAAUUUGGAUUACCUUCUCCAGAUAUUAGGUAUUCACCAGCAGAAAUUAGUGAUAAAGAAAAUGAAGAAUUUAUCUAUUAUCCAAAAACUGAUGGUGAUCUAAAAGAUGCAAGGAAUGGAUACAAAUCACAAACUUCACAAAUAAGCUCAGCAGAUGCAAAUAAUCAGCCAAUAAAGCAAAGGGUCAAAAGACAGGCUGCAGCCGCUGGUGAGGAAAAGAGUGGAUAUGGUGCAACGAGCAAAGAGAAAGAUCGUAAACCUAUGACAGUGAAUGAGGCAGAAAUAUAUCUGCAAACAUUUGAGACAAUGGUGACAGAAGCAAGCCCAGACACUGCCAAAAGUCACUUGAAGAAUUUGCUGGAUAGUCUCCCUCUCAUGCUGUCUGGGCUCUGCUUGCUGAAAACAGCUGCACCAGCACCAAAAGAAGUGACAGGAGACCUGGUGAGCAUCACUGUAGCAUCACCAGAUCUUAAAGACCAAGAAGACAAAAAAUUCUUCUUGAUGGAGAAAAGUGCUGACAGACCCCAACUUGUGCAGAAAAAUAAUUAUGUGGUAUUUGGUGAUGUACUGCUUGACUAUGAUAAGUGGUCUUGUAAGAAGAGAGGUGCAUCAGAGAAUAUGUCAUGCUAUGGAGCUUGUCCUUCCACUGUACUUUUGAAAGAUAACUUCUGGUCAUUGGUGACUGGUGCCAGGACUCCAGGCCCCCUCAGAACAUCAGUAGCAGGUGCAUUUCUACUUAGCCCAGAAUCAGGUAUUAAGGUCCCAGUGACCUCAGAUGCCAGAAUUUUAUACAGCAUAAAGAUUCACAAUACCACAAAAUCACCUGGCUAUAGAAUUGAGUGUUUUGGCUGGAGUGACCAAGAAUGGGAUAACACUGUUUGCAGCACUGGUAUAACAGAGAUUUUUGGUAAAGUCAGGAAACUGGUAUGCACCUGCAAGGAGACUGUUUAUGUUGCAGGAUUUCUGGUAAAGUUUUCAAUUACUCCAAGGAUCAUUGGUCCCAGUAUUGAGGAAGAACCAGCAGACCAAGCCUCAGAUUUUGCUCCACUUCCCAUAAAGGAUAAAGUACAUGUCAUCAUGAUCAUACAUGCUGAUUACGAUGAAGUGGUUGGAAAAAAUAAAACUGCACUUGAAGAAGAGUGGACAGUACAGAUUUCUGAGACAUUGGGCAUUCCAAAAUCAUCUAUCUAUAAUCUGACUAUUUCUAAAGGCAGUGUUGUGGUACAGUUUGAUAUUCUGCCCACAUACACUCGCACAGCCAGUAAGCCUCCAAGUGACGUCUUUGGUAAUCUUUAUGAACUGGUAAAUUCUGGAACACUAACUUUGACUGGAUUAUCCAAUGAACAGCUUCCAGUAUUGCCACAAGCCUUGGAUGGCAGCGGUCCACUUGUUGAAGAAAAGAAAGACCCUACCAAGCUCCCACUUAUCAUAGGAGCUGUGGUUGGGGCCAUAGUUUUAAUUGUGAUUGUUUUCAUCUGUUUUGCCAUAUACUUCAAGAAUAAGAAGAAAAUGGACAAAGUUCAACCACUACAGAUGGGUGAUACUAAGCAACCUACAUACAGCUCCAUAUACUUUGAACAAAUGCUGGAUGGCACCAUUGCAUCACUGGCUAAGCAACAAAAUUCAAGCAACCGCAGCCUCUCCUCGGGGGGUUCCUAUGCAGACGAGGGGAUCUACAUAGAGAGACGAGCAACUCCCAGUUCCCGAGGUGGCUCAGGAAGCAAGUCAAGUGCAAACCUUAGCCAUGACUCAGGCUUGGAUGAAGUACCUGAGCCUUUCCAAUACAACAGUCCGAGCAAGGAGCAGCUGGAGAGUUCAGGAGCCAUACCAGAACACAUAUUUCAGAAGAUUGAGGCCAGUGCAGAGGGUCUCCUCCCAGGGUCACCUGAAGAGCCAGUCACUGUUCACCACAAGUGGUGACUGUUAAAUCAUAUGCUGACUUCCAGGGUUACAAGGACAUCUUAGAAAGAUUGAAGAAGUUGCGGAAAGAAAGGGAAGCUCUGCCGGGAACACCAGUAGGAGACAUGCCAUGAAUGAUGUCACUCCAUCUUGACUGCAGAUUACUAUUGGCA